rnacentral:rRNA from 1 species
AGGAAAGUAAAGAAGGGCGCAUGGCGGAUGCCUUGGCUCUCGGAGGCGAUGAAGGACGUGAUAAGCUGCGAUAAGCUUUGGGGAGGUGCAAAUGACCUUUGAUCCAGAGAUUUCCGAAUGGGACAACCCAAUAUCUUGAAGAGGUAUUAUCUUACUAUGUAAGAGGCUAACGCAGGGAACUGAAACAUCUUAGUACCUGCAGGAAAAGAAAAUAAACAAUGAUUCCCCCAGUAGUGGCGAGCGAACGGGGAACAGCCCAAACCAUCCAUGUUACGGCAUGGGUGGGGUUGUAGGACUACGCCGUUGCAUGAAGACAUCAGAGAAGAACUUUCUGGAAAGAAAGACCAUAGAGCAUGACAGUUGCGUAUUCGAAUGUUGUCGAAGCAUAGUAGUAUCCUGAGUAGCGCGGAGCACGAGGAAUUCUGCGUGAAUCUGCCGGGACCAUCCGGUAAGGCUAAAUACUCCCGAGAGACCGAUAGCGAACCAGUACCGUGAGGGAAAGGUGAAAAGCACUUCGAACAGAAGAGUGAAAUAGUUCCUGAAACCGUGCGCCUACAAGCGGUCGGAGCUCGUUAAUGAGUGACGGCGUGCCUUUUGCAUAAUGAACCUACGAGUUGCCUUUGCCGGCAAGGUUAAGUGUGACGACACACGUAUCCGAAGCGAAAGCGAGUCUGAACAGGGCGUAUAGUCGGCAGUGGCAGACGCGAAACCAAGUGAUCUACCCUUGGCCAGGUUGAAGGCUGGGUAACACCAGCUGGAGGACCGCACCAAUAAGCGUUGAAAAGCUUCUGGAUGAGCUGAGGGUAGGGGUGAAAGGCUAAUCAAACUUGGAGAUAGCUCGUACUCCCCGAAAUGCAUUUAGGUGCAGCCUUGCGGGUUACUGAUGUGAGGUAGAGCGACUGAUAAGAUGCGAGGGCUUCACCGCCUAUCAAGUCUUGACAAACUCCGAAUGCGCAUCAGUUCUACCGCAGGAGUGAGGGCAUGGGUGCUAAGGUCCGUGCCCGAGAGGAGAAGAAUCCGGACCACCUGCUAAGGUCCCGAAAUGACAGCUAAGUUAAACUAACGAAGUCUGACUGCUAAGACAGCUAGGAUGUUGGCUUGGAAGCAGCCAUUCAUUUAAAGAGUGCGUAACAGCUCACUAGUCGAGGAGUCGGGCGUGGAUAAUAAUCGGGUAU